rnacentral:rRNA from 1 species
ACGCACGCUGGCGGCGUGCUUAACACAUGCAAGUCGAACGGAAAGGCCCUGCUUGCCGGGUACUCGAGUGGCGAACGGGUGAGUAACACGUGGGUGAUCUGCCCUGCACUUCGGGAUAAGCUUGGGAAACUGGGUCUAAUACCGGAUAGGAGCCAUCUUUAGUGUGGUGGUUGGAAAGUUUUUUCGGUGUAGGAUGAGCUCGCGGCCUAUCAGCUUGUUGGUGGGGUAAUGGCCUACCAAGGCGGCGACGGGUAGCCGGCCUGAGAGGGUGUACGGCCACAUUGGGACUGAGAUACGGCCCAGACUCCUACGGGAGGCAGCAGUGGGGAAUAUUGCACAAUGGGCGCAAGCCUGAUGCAGCGACGCCGCGUGGGGGAUGAAGGCCUUCGGGUUGUAAACUCCUUUCGCUAGGGACGAAGCUUUUUUGUGACGGUACCUAGAUAAGAAGCACCGGCUAACUACGUG